rnacentral:misc_RNA from 1 species
GAUGAAGAAUGUAGCGAAAUGCGAUAAGUAGUGUGAAUUGCAGAAUUCAGUGAAUCAUCGAAUCUUUGAACGCACAUUGCGCCCUUUGGUAUUCCAAAGGGCAUGCCUGUUCGAGCGUCAUUUGUACCCUCAAGCUUUGCUUGGUGUUGGGCGUCUUGUCUCUAGCUUUGCUGGAGACUCGCCUUAAAGUAAUUGGCAGCCGGCCUACUGGUUUCGGAGCGCAGCACAAGUCGCACUCUCUAUCAGCAAAGGUCUAGCAUCCAUUAAGCCUUUUUUUCAACUUUUGACCUCGGAUCAGGUAGGGAUACCCGCUGAACUUAAGCAUAUCAAUAAGCGGAGGA